rnacentral:rRNA from 1 species
AUUGAACGCUGGCGGUAGGCCUAACACAUGCAAGUCGAACGGCAGCACAGUAAUAGCUCCCUCUUACAGCUGGCGAGUGGCGAGCGGGGGCGGGAAACAUCCGUGGCUGUGUUUUCGAACGUGCGAAAACAGGGAAAAAUACGCCAAAACCGCUUACGGACUAAGGGUGAAAUCUUGGGAUCUCACGACCUCGCACGAUCGAAGGACGCGAUGUCUGAUUAGCUAGUUGGCGGGGUAAAGGCCCACCAAGGCGACGAUCCGUAGCUGGUCUGAGAGGAUGAUCAGUCACACUGGAACUGAGACACGGUCCAGACUCCUACGGGAGGCAGCAGUGGGGAAUAUUGGACAAUGGGCGCAAGCCUGAUCCAGCCAUGCCGCGUGGGUGAAGAAGGUCUUCGGAUUGUAAAGCCCUUUUGGUUGGAAAGAAAGGCAGUAAGUUAAUACCCCGCUGUUCUGACGGUACCAAAAGAAUAAGCACCGGCUAACUUCGUG